AAGGGGCGUCUCCCUCUUUUCUUCCAAAAAUCCCUAAUUCCCCAAAUUCUCUUCUUCUCGGUGAUUGUUCACACCGCCGCCUUCGGCGCUUCUUGCCGGCGUGGGAGCUCGACGGAGUCAGCCCAUUUCUCUCCGUCUAUCCCUUUCGCCUCCGCAUCACACAACCACCACCGCCCUCCGCCCCCUUUCUUCUCGCAUUCUCGGCUCCGUCGACACACAGCGUCGCCGCCGUCGGUCUCGGGCGGUUAGCAGGUAGCAGCGGUUGUACCCUCCUCUAAUUCUUCCUCUCGUUCGUUGGUCUGGCAGUACAUCGGGCGCCGCCACCGCCUUCUCGCUGCCCAAUCAGUGACAGCAGCGGCUUCGAGUGCUCUCCCUCUCUCGCAUCUUCGCCAGCAGCGAGACCGCCACUCCGGAUUUUGGGCCUGUCGCCGCCCGCCGUCAUUGCUGCUAUUGUGCAGCCGCUGCCAUACCACCUUCGGCCAUUUGCCGACCCGAAACUAAGCUAAGUUCUUACUCUUUCUCCUUUAUUAAUAUUUCAGGCAAAAUCUUAGGGCUUUCAAUUUGAGAUCGAGCUAUGUUAAAGUUUUUCUAUCGGUGCUUAGAGAAGCUAUAAAAUUAUGCUCUUUGAGUUUAUGUGACCUGGUGCUUAAGAUUCUUUUAUUCACUUCUGACUUCAUUUGGUAGAUAACAAGUUAUGCCUUGAUUAAAGGGUUGGAGCUGCCUAUGGUUCAUGAUCUUGUAAACUGUAUUCUAUGUGGCCUACUUACUGGUUCGUCACAGAAAUGAUAAAAGAGCAUGCUUGUGCUUUGUGUUCUAAACAUGACGAGACUAUUUCCUUAUGACCAUGUUGUGAUGUUCUAAGUGGAUGAAAAGGAGGUAUAAGGGUGAGUAUGUGCUACCUGAUUCCUUGUGGCUGGUGGAUUGGGGAAAACUCCCACUUCAAAUGGUCUUUGAAAGGCACAGCCACCUCUACUCACUCUCUUACUCUUGGUUGUGAUUUGUGGGGGGAGAAAGAAUGUGAUUUUGAAGUGGUGAUUAGUGAAGGGAAAACAGAUAUUGAAGGAGAAAACAUAUAUAUAAGUUGUUGCUGCAAUUUGUUGAGAGCCUUGGCGGAAGGAAUCUGUAACUUGUUUUGUUGUUGUAUUGCCAUUGGCUCCUUUAGGUUGUACCAAGGAUAUGUACUCGUGAGAACAUUUAUUGGGCUGAUCUUCCUGCUAAAGCACAUCUCUUUUGCCAAUUCUUUAGCACUUUCAAUUAAAUGUAGUUUGGUGUUUUGCUUAGAGCUAAGUACUAUGUUAUUUAUGGCAAUUGUUUGAUUGUGGCAGGCGGUACGUGGAGGAAUGCAUGAGCUGCUAUGAGGUGAAGACAUGCAGGGAUUGACUUGCUUUCUAUGACUUGGGCUGCUACGUUGCUGACCGAGACAUGGGCUUGCUGCCCUGGGCCCGACGGGUUGGUUGGACCCGGGUCAUGGAGGGGCGUGGUUUGGGCUUGGGAUAAAGAGGCCCAAAAUGCAAGCAAUAUAGGAUUUUAAUUUCUUAAGCUGCUUGGCCCAUUCAUGAGUAUUUUGUAAAAGUAUCUAUUAUUCCUUUUCUUCCAUUCAUAAUCCAUUUGUAAAAGUAUCCAUUAUUCAUUUUCUUCCAUUCAUAAUCCACACAUAAGAUGAUCAUGUAAGUUAAUGUAUUAUUCGAGAUGUAUGUGAACACUUUAGUUCGGGAAGGACAACUUCAUAUUCUUUCA